CAGCAGCCGCGGUAACACGUAGGGUGCAAGCGUUAAUCGGAAUUACUGGGCGUAAAGCGUGCGCAGGCGGUUCUAUAAGACAGAUGUGAAAUCCCCGGGCUCAGCCUGGGAACUGCAUUUGUGACUGUAGAGCUGGAGUGCGGCAGAGGGGGAUGGAAUUCCGCGUGUAGCAGUGAAAUGCGUAGAUAUGCGGAGGAACACCGAUGGCGAAGGCAAUCCCCUGGGCCUGCACUGACGCUCAUGCGCGAAAGCGUGGGGAGCGAACAGGAUUAGAUACCCCCGUAGUCCCUGUCUCUUAUAC
rnacentral:rRNA from 1 species